UACGUAGGCAGCGAGCGUUGUUCGGAGUUACUGGGCGUAAAGGGCUCGUAGGCGGUUUGUCGCGUCGGGAGUGAAAACGCCGUGCUUAACACGGCGCUUGCUUUCGAUACGGGCAGACUAGAGGUAUGCAGGGGAGAACGGAAUUCCUGGUGUAGCGGUGAAAUGCGCAGAUAUCAGGAGGAACACCGGUGGCGAAGGCGGUUCUCUGGGCAUUACCUGACGCUGAGGAGCGAAAGUGUGGGGAGCGAACAGG
rnacentral:rRNA from 1 species